GAUGAACGCUGGCGGCGUGCCUAAUACAUGCAAGUCGAGCGAACGGACGAGAAGCUUGCUUCUCUGAUGUUAGCGGCGGACGGGUGAGUAACACGUGGAUAACCUACCUAUAAGACUGGGAUAACUUCGGGAAACCGGAGCUAAUACCGGCUAAUAUUUUGAACCGCAUGGUUCAAAAGUGAAAGACGGUCUUGCUGUCACUUAUAGAUGGAUCCGCGCUGCAUUAGCUAGUUGGUAAGGUAACGGCUUACCAAGGCAACGAUGCAUAGCUGACCUGAGAGGAUGAUCGGCCACACUGGAACUGAGACACGGUCCAGACUCCUACGGGAGGCAGCAGUAGGGAAUAUUCGACAAUGGGCGAAAGCCUGACGGAGCAACGCCGCGUGAGUGAAGAAGGUCUUCGGAUCGUAAAACUCUGUUAUUAGGAAAGAAAAUAUGUGUAAGUAAAUGUGCACGUCUUGACGGUACCUAAACAGAAAGCAACGGCUAACUUCGUG
rnacentral:rRNA from 1 species